GUAUCCCUGCGCCGCUGCGCGAGGCAGUGGCUGAAUGAGGAGCUGCGCGGGGGAAGCGGGGCGCCGGGGGAGGAGGCGGCGGGAUGGAAGCAGACGCUGGCGUCGCGCGAGCCCGCGGCCGAGCGGCGCGGUAGAGAGGGCGGCGGCGGCGCGCGCGGAACCUUGACGUGCCCCUUUCUUUCUUCUCUCGCUGGGAAGCUGGGAAGUAUGAGCGUGCAGCCCUGCCGCUGCGGCGGCCGCCCCGGCUCCUCGCCUCCCCCACUUCUGGCCACCCCUCGCCGGUGAGAGAAGAGAACGCGAGAAGGGAAGAUGGGGGCCGUCCUGAGGAGCCUCCUGGCCUGCAGCUUCUGUGUGCUCCUGAGAGCGGCCCCUUUGUUGCUUUAUGCAAACAGACGGGACUUGCGAUUGGUUGAUGCUACAAAUGGCAAAGAGAAUGCUACGAUUGUAGUUGGAGGCUUGGAGGAUGCAGCUGCGGUGGACUUUGUGUUUAGUCAUGGCUUGAUAUACUGGAGUGAUGUCAGUGAAGAAGCCAUUAAACGAACAGAAUUUAACAAAACUGAGAGUGUGCAGAAUGUUGUUGUUUCUGGAUUAUUGUCCCCCGAUGGGCUGGCAUGUGAUUGGCUUGGAGAAAAAUUGUACUGGACAGAUUCUGAAACUAAUCGGAUUGAAGUUUCCAAUUUAGAUGGAUCUUUACGAAAAGUUUUAUUUUGGCAAGAGUUGGAUCAACCCAGAGCUAUUGCCUUAGAUCCUUCAAGUGGGUUCAUGUACUGGACAGACUGGGGAGAAGUGCCAAAGAUAGAACGUGCUGGAAUGGAUGGUUCAAGUCGCUUCAUUAUAAUAAACAGUGAAAUUUACUGGCCAAAUGGACUGACUUUGGAUUAUGAAGAACAAAAGCUUUAUUGGGCAGAUGCAAAACUUAAUUUCAUCCACAAAUCAAAUCUGGAUGGAACAAAUCGGCAGGCAGUGGUUAAAGGUUCCCUUCCACAUCCUUUUGCCUUGACGUUAUUUGAGGACAUAUUGUACUGGACUGACUGGAGCACACACUCCAUUUUGGCUUGCAACAAGUAUACUGGUGAGGGUCUGCGUGAAAUCCAUUCUAACAUCUUCUCUCCCAUGGAUAUACAUGCCUUCAGCCAACAGAGGCAGCCAAAUGCCACAAAUCCAUGUGGAAUUGACAAUGGGGGUUGUUCCCAUUUGUGUUUGAUGUCUCCAGUCAAGCCUUUUUAUCAGUGUGCUUGCCCCACUGGGGUCAAACUCCUGGAGAAUGGAAAAACCUGCAAAGAUGGUGCCACAGAAUUAUUGCUUUUAGCUCGAAGGACAGAUUUGAGACGCAUUUCUUUGGAUACACCAGAUUUUACAGACAUUGUUCUGCAGUUAGAAGACAUCCGUCAUGCCAUUGCCAUAGAUUACGAUCCUGUGGAAGGCUACAUCUACUGGACUGAUGAUGAAGUGAGGGCCAUACGCCGUUCAUUUAUAGAUGGAUCUGGCAGUCAGUUUGUGGUCACUGCUCAAAUUGCCCAUCCUGAUGGUAUUGCUGUGGACUGGGUUGCACGAAAUCUUUAUUGGACAGACACUGGCACUGAUCGAAUAGAAGUGACAAGGCUCAAUGGGACCAUGAGGAAGAUCUUGAUUUCAGAGGACUUAGAGGAACCCCGGGCUAUUGUGUUAGAUCCCAUGGUUGGGUACAUGUAUUGGACUGACUGGGGAGAAAUUCCGAAAAUUGAGCGAGCAGCUCUGGAUGGUUCUGACCGUGUAGUAUUGGUUAACACUUCUCUUGGUUGGCCAAAUGGUUUAGCCUUGGAUUAUGAUGAAGGCAAAAUAUACUGGGGAGAUGCCAAAACAGACAAGAUUGAGGUUAUGAAUACUGAUGGCACUGGGAGACGAGUACUAGUGGAAGACAAAAUUCCUCACAUAUUUGGAUUUACUUUGUUGGGUGAUUAUGUUUACUGGACUGACUGGCAGAGGCGUAGCAUUGAAAGAGUUCACAAACGAAGUGCAGAGAGGGAAGUGAUCAUAGAUCAGCUGCCUGACCUCAUGGGCCUAAAGGCCACAAAUGUUCAUCGAGUGAUUGGUUCCAACCCCUGUGCUGAGGAAAACGGGGGAUGUAGCCAUCUCUGCCUCUAUAGACCUCAGGGCCUUCGCUGUGCUUGCCCUAUUGGCUUUGAACUCAUCAGUGACAUGAAGACCUGCAUUGUCCCAGAGGCUUUCCUUUUGUUUUCACGGAGAGCAGAUAUCAGACGAAUUUCUUUGGAAACAAACAAUAAUAAUGUGGCUAUUCCACUCACUGGUGUCAAAGAAGCUUCUGCUUUGGAUUUUGAUGUGACAGACAACCGAAUUUAUUGGACUGAUAUAUCACUCAAGACCAUCAGCAGAGCCUUUAUGAAUGGCAGUGCACUGGAACAUGUGGUAGAAUUCGGCUUAGAUUAUCCAGAAGGCAUGGCAGUAGACUGGCUUGGGAAGAACUUGUACUGGGCAGACACAGGAACGAAUCGAAUUGAGGUGUCAAAGUUGGAUGGGCAGCACCGACAAGUUUUGGUGUGGAAAGACCUAGAUAGUCCCAGAGCUCUCGCGUUGGACCCUGCCGAAGGAUUUAUGUAUUGGACUGAAUGGGGUGGAAAACCCAAGAUAGACAGAGCUGCAAUGGAUGGAAGUGAACGUACUACCUUAGUUCCAAAUGUGGGGCGGGCAAACGGCCUAACUAUUGAUUAUGCUAAAAGGAGGCUUUAUUGGACAGACCUGGACACCAACUUAAUAGAAUCUUCAAAUAUGCUUGGGCUCAACCGUGAAGUUAUAGCAGAUGACUUGCCUCAUCCUUUUGGCUUAACUCAGUACCAAGAUUAUAUCUACUGGACGGACUGGAGCCGACGCAGCAUUGAGCGUGCCAACAAAACCAGUGGCCAAAACCGCACCAUCAUUCAGGGCCAUUUGGAUUAUGUGAUGGACAUCCUCGUCUUUCACUCAUCUCGACAGUCAGGGUGGAAUGAAUGUGCUUCCAGCAAUGGGCACUGCUCCCACCUCUGCUUGGCUGUGCCAGUUGGGGGUUUUGUUUGUGGAUGCCCUGCCCACUACUCUCUUAAUGCUGACAACAGGACUUGUAGUGCUCCUACAACUUUCCUGCUCUUCAGUCAAAAGAGUGCCAUCAACCGCAUGGUGAUUGAUGAACAACAGAGCCCCGACAUCAUCCUUCCCAUCCACAGCCUUCGGAAUGUCCGGGCCAUUGACUAUGACCCACUGGACAAGCAACUCUAUUGGAUUGACUCACGACAAAACAUGAUCCGAAAGGCACAAGAAGAUGGCAGCCAGGGCUUUACUGUGGUUGUGAGCUCAGUUCCGAGUCAGAACCUGGAAAUACAACCCUAUGACCUCAGCAUUGAUAUUUACAGCCGCUACGUCUACUGGACUUGUGAGGCUACCAAUGUCAUUAAUGUGACAAGAUUAGAUGGGAGAUCAGUUGGAGUGGUGCUAAAAGGCGAGCAGGACAGACCUCGAGCCAUUGUGGUAAACCCAGAGAAAGGGUAUAUGUAUUUUACCAAUCUUCAGGAAAGGUCUCCUAAAAUUGAACGGGCUGCUUUGGAUGGGACAGAACGGGAGGUCCUCUUUUUCAGUGGCUUAAGUAAACCAAUUGCUUUAGCCCUUGAUAGCAGGCUGGGCAAGCUCUUUUGGGCUGAUUCAGAUCUCCGGCGAAUUGAAAGCAGUGAUCUCUCAGGUGCUAACCGGAUAGUAUUAGAAGACUCCAAUAUCUUGCAGCCUGUGGGACUUACUGUGUUUGAAAACUGGCUCUAUUGGAUUGAUAAACAGCAGCAAAUGAUUGAAAAAAUUGACAUGACAGGUCGAGAGGGUAGAACCAAAGUCCAAGCUCGAAUUGCCCAGCUUAGUGACAUUCAUGCAGUAAAGGAGCUGAACCUUCAAGAAUACAGACAGCACCCUUGUGCUCAGGAUAAUGGUGGCUGUUCACAUAUUUGUCUUGUAAAGGGGGAUGGUACUACAAGGUGUUCUUGCCCCAUGCACCUGGUUCUACUUCAAGAUGAGCUAUCAUGUGGAGAACCUCCAACAUGUUCUCCUCAGCAGUUUACUUGUUUCACGGGGGAAAUUGACUGUAUCCCUGUGGCUUGGCGGUGUGAUGGGUUUACUGAAUGUGAAGACCACAGUGAUGAACUCAAUUGUCCUGUAUGCUCAGAGUCCCAGUUCCAGUGUGCCAGUGGGCAGUGUAUUGAUGGUGCCCUCCGAUGCAAUGGAGAUGCAAACUGCCAGGACAAAUCAGAUGAGAAGAACUGUGAAGUGCUUUGUUUAAUUGAUCAGUUCCGCUGUGCCAAUGGUCAGUGCAUUGGAAAGCACAAGAAGUGUGAUCAUAAUGUGGAUUGCAGUGACAAGUCAGAUGAACUGGAUUGUUAUCCGACUGAAGAACCAGCACCACAGGCCACCAAUACAGUUGGUUCUGUUAUUGGCGUAAUUGUCACCAUUUUUGUGUCUGGAACUAUAUACUUUAUCUGCCAGAGGAUGUUGUGUCCACGUAUGAAGGGAGAUGGGGAAACUAUGACUAAUGACUAUGUAGUUCAUGGACCAGCUUCUGUGCCUCUUGGUUAUGUGCCACACCCAAGUUCUUUGUCAGGAUCUCUUCCAGGAAUGUCUCGAGGUAAAUCAAUGAUCAGCUCCCUCAGUAUCAUGGGGGGAAGCAGUGGACCCCCCUAUGACCGAGCCCAUGUUACAGGAGCAUCAUCAAGUAGUUCUUCAAGCACCAAAGGCACUUACUUCCCUGCAAUUUUGAACCCUCCACCAUCCCCAGCCACAGAGCGAUCACAUUACACUAUGGAAUUUGGAUAUUCUUCAAACAGUCCUUCCACUCAUAGAUCAUACAGCUACAGGCCAUAUAGCUACCGGCACUUUGCACCCCCCACCACACCCUGCAGCACAGAUGUUUGUGACAGUGACUAUGCUCCUAGUCGGAGAAUGACCUCAGUGGCAACAGCCAAGGGCUAUACCAGUGACUUAAACUAUGAUUCAGAACCUGUGCCCCCACCUCCCACACCCCGAAGCCAAUACUUGUCAGCAGAGGAGAACUAUGAAAGCUGCCCACCUUCUCCAUACACAGAGAGGAGCUAUUCUCAUCACCUCUACCCACCGCCACCCUCUCCCUGUACAGACUCCUCCUGAGGAGGGGCCCUCCUCCUCUGACUGCCUCCAACGUAAAAAUGUAUGUUUACCUUGCUGCCUCCUCCAGCAACUUGGCCUCUCUGGGUUUCAGGGCCCAAGAGAAAACAGUGGAAGAAAGGAUUCAGAAUUUUGGCAAGGGUGAAGUAACUGUUCAUGCAAGUUAAAAAUACCUAAGUAAAGUUUUUGAAGAUAAAAUUGUGGUUUCAGAAUAAUGCUGAUUGUUGGAGACUGUAAGAAUCAGGUGCACUUGAUUUUGCAUAUAAGCAAAUGGUAAAUCUAUCAGAGUCCUAAAACAGACAAGCAUGAACUCUUCCCGUUGCUGGAACUAAGUGCCCACAGUGUCAGACAAAAUGGACAUUGAACUUGGAUUCUGUGAUACACAGGGCACUUGAUGCUUAAAUGAAGAUGGAAAGGUUAGCAAUACCUGGGUGUCAGUUAGAAUUUGAGAAUUCUAUAUGUUUACAUAUUUAAAUGUGCAUCUUGAUCUGGUGGACUUCCCAUGUGGAGACUUGCACUCUAAUUAACUAAGAAGAAUAUUGCCUUGUUGGAUCUCAGUCCACGUGCUUGCACUGCGAUGGCAAUGGCCUCUUCUUCAAAAUACUAAUUUGUGUGCCAAUUUGUUUAAAAUUAUUUGAAGGCAGUUCAGCCUAAUCUCAGUGUUCUCUUUCUGGGGUAGAUGAGAUGGAUUCUUAAUAUUUCGGGGAGUACUUUUUAAUGAGAGAAUUGUCAAAUUUGGAAAGAUUCAUUGAGCCUUACGUUACAUGGACAGUUAAGCUUAAGUAAACUGUAUAUUGAUUAUUAAACACAAGCUGUAAUUGGAAAAGUUGAGAGGAAAAACAUGAGACCACAAAUUAGGGGGAAAAAAGAAAAGGGAUUUUUAAAUUUGGUAUAUUAAAUUCAUUGUCCGAGGGGGAAAAUGAAUAAUGUUUCAUUAGAUUCCUUAUAUGCAAAAGUAUUUAUUUUGAACAUGUGUCCUAAAAUAUAUGCACUAACUGAUGUGAUUAAAAUUGUCCAAGAAAUAAACUUGAGCAUAACAUACUUUGUGUGCACCACAGUAAGCUAUUCUGCAUUGAAGUGGUCUUUUAUAACUAAGGCCUGGACUUGGCUCCAACAGAGUCGUGGUCUUCUGAAUAGUGACUUAAGGAGUUUUGUUUGCUUAAGUCAGAUAAUAGCACAUUCACAGGGAAAAAAAGAGAGUUGGUGGAUAGAAUUUUCUGACUAUUAAUUUUUCUUCCAUGAAAUUUUAUUAUGCCUUUGGCACUUUCUGCCACUCUUACAGCAUAUCACAAGAUGUCUGUUUAGCAGAAGAUUGUGUAGUUACUUUAAUUUUAAUAUAAAAAUAGCUUGUGAUACAUUACCAAGAGAUCUCUGAUUCUUUAGUAAGUUUGAGAACACCUAUUCUACAGAGAUGAUAGGUACUUAGAAAUGAAGACUUUAAAGUACAUUUUAAUCUAAUAAAGGCCAGUAAUUGGGGGAAGGGGCUUUGAGCAGUACAAUUUUAAGAUGAUUUUGAGGGUUGUAUUUCUUUAUCACUUAAAAAUACCCUAAAGUCAGUAAUUUAUAUGAAGGAAACUCAUUCAUUAUUGAAGGUAUUAAAAAUAGCCAUCAUCUGUAUUAGGUAGCAGUUUUGGAGGAUCAUCUUUUUCUUUUGCUAUAAAGCCCUAUUAAUGAAGAAUACUUCAGUAGAGUUAAUAGCUGUAGCUUACCUAGUGUGUUAAUGAAGUGUGUUUAUUUAUGUGACUUGAUACCAGUAGUCAUAAUAGAGACUGAAGAGGUAUGCGUUAAGCACGCCUACUUCUAUGCAGUAAACAGGCUGCAGCUGCCUAGAUUAGAUUCUUAGAAAUGUCAUAUUUUGAAUUGUUUUAUUUCUUGUAGGGGAAGCUUUGUCCCACUUCAUUCAUUUGCAUGCCAUAGGAAUUACAUAUUGGUUAUCAUUACAUAUCUAACAAGAUUCAGAAACAAAAAUCUUGGACUUUUCACAUCUGAAAUAUGUCAGCUCUUAAUAAAUGUGUGGUGCUUAAGUCUACAUAUGGCAUCCAUAGUUGAUCUAGAGUAUGGAUAUGAGUGUGUUGACCAGUUAUCAGUAGGUGGACAAAUAUUUGGGCAUCUACAGAUGAGACUAUGCACUAAGUGUGGACUGAGUCCUAAAGAAGCUUAUAGUCAGGUGUUGUUUAAAACAUUAUCAGAAUUCUUAAACCCAAGGAAUUUAAUUUUAUUUGGUAUUUCUUAAGCCUAAAAUGAACCAAGAGAAAGAUGAUUUUAGAAAGUACUUGUAGUGCAUGUGUGGCUUCUGACUUUUGGGAUGGCACCAUUUUAUAAUAGUUUCAAAAUUUAGCUUUUGAAAUUCUCAACAUUUUAUGGUAGAAGACUUUGGACCUCAAGUAUAAAAUUAUACGUUUAUAAUUUUUUUUUAAAUUUAAAUUAUAAGUAUUGUGAAUUCACACUCUCAGGCUAUUGUCUGACUUGAUCUAUGUCUCAUAAAGCCUGUACCUGAGUGGAGUGGAAGGUGGAGUCUUACGUUAAUCAGUUACUGACUCUACCCUCACCCUCUUUCAAUUGAGGUAAACUUUGCUGUUUUUCUUUUUCAUAAAGCAUUCUUAAAUUGUUGAGUUUAUUGCUGAAAAAAAUCUCCAUGACUUUACAGAUAGAAUUACAAACUAAAUGAUUUCUUGUAUUUAGAAGCAGAGUACAGACCUAACAAACUGUUAGAUUAUCCACCAUCACUUAGGGUUUGCCCAAAAGCAACACCAAAGAAUUACAGACAACAUGCUUUUGCUUAACUGUCCAUUUUGGUUGUUUUGUUUUUUAAUCAAAUAUAAGCAGGAUGGGCGAUAGAGAUAUAUUUAUAUAUAGAUACAUAUUCUAUAUAUCUAAUGCCUAAAUAUGGGUAUUAAAGGGAAAAUUUUAAAAGUCUGAUUAAAUCCAAUAUUACAUGAAAUUAAAUACAUGGAUUAGUAAGGAAAAAUGUUAAAAAGUAGAGAGGAUACCAAGAAGAUUAAACUGGACUAGCCUUAUUUGCAAGUGAAGGAUCUGGUGCUGCUUUCAGAUGUUUAUCUUUUAUUUUUUUCCCUUAAGCUUUAAUCUUCGUCAUUGUCUUAAAGUCAACUGGUGUUUCUUGUUCAUCGACUUUGGUACGAUGGUGCUUUGCAAGGAUGUAUUUAUGUUAUAAUGGCCAACAUUUGGUCAGCCCUUGUCCACUUAUUCACUUCCCUCCUUUUGUAAAAUAAGUGCUUUAAUUAUAAACUGUAUAAAAAUACCUUGUAUAAACCCCUUUUUUGAUUAUUACAAUAAAUAAGCUGAAUUGUAACAAAUGAAAUGUUGAUUUUUGUAAUAAAACAGUGGAAAAGUAAAA